rnacentral:rRNA from 1 species
UACGUAGGGCGCAAGCGUUGUCCGGAAUUAUUGGGCGUAAAGAGCUCGUAGGCGGUUUGUCGCGUCUGUCGUGAAAGCUUGGGGCUUAACCCCAAGUCUGCGGUGGAUACGGGCAGGCUUGAGCUCGGUAGGGGAGACUGGAAUUCCUGGUGUAGCGGUGAAAUGCGCAGAUAUCAGGAGGAACACCGGUGGCGAAGGCGGGUCUCUGGGCCGAUACUGACGCUGAGGAGCGAAAGCGUGGGGAGCGAACAGG